rnacentral:lncRNA from 1 species
GGCCUUCACAUCUGGGUGCAUGCUCAUCUCUCAUUCAAUUUCUCAGUUUGCAACUAAAUUUCCUUUUAUAUGCCCACACCUCGGGGUCACACAGCUGGAGCAAGCAGGCAUUGGUCCAACUCGAGCACCUGCAAAGAAAGUCUUGCCAUCGGAGAACAAGGUAAGUGUUCUCCGAUAGAGAACUCUCCGAUGAUUAAGUCAGUGAU